rnacentral:rRNA from 1 species
GAUCCCAUCCCGAACUCAGUAGUGAAACGCGUCAUCGCCGAUGGUAGUGUGGGGUCUCCCCAUGUGAGAGUAGGUCAUCGCCAGGC